UGUGGCCCUUUUCCCGGCUGCAGCUAGGGGGGAUACAUGGGGUGAGGGGAAAUAAAUUAUUUUUUAAAAAGGAGCCCCUAGUGACAGUUUUUCUUGAUGGUCACUGUUCUGAUUCAUCUGCCACAUUUUGGGAAAAGACCGUU